GAUGAACGCUGGCGGCGUGCCUAAUACAUGCAAGUCGAGCGAACGGACGAGAAGCUUGCUUCUUUGAUGUUAGCGGCGGACGGGUGAGUAACACGUGGAUAACCUACCUAUCAGACUGGGAUAACUUCGGGAAACCGUAGCUAAUACCGGAUAAUAUUUUGAACCGCAUGGUUCAAAAGUGAAAGACGGUCUUGCUGUCACUUAUAGAUGGAUCCGGGCUGGAUUAGCUAGUUGGUAAGGUAACGGCUUACCAAGGCAACGAUGCAUAGCCGACCUGAGAGGGUGAUCGGCCACACUGGAACUGAGACACGGUCCAGAGUCCUACGGGAGGCAGCAGUAGGGAAUCUUCCGCAAUGGGCGAAAGCCUGACGGAGCAACGCCGCGUGAGUGAUGAAGGUCUUCGGAUCGUAAAACUCUGUUAUUAGGGAAGAACAUAUGUGUAAGUAACUGUGCACAUCUUGACGGUACCUAAUCAGAAAGCCACGGCUAACUACGUG
rnacentral:rRNA from 1 species